UAAGGCAAGCCAGUAGAGCCAGCCUAAAUCCCACUAAGAGGUGGGUGUCAAGCCAAGGAGUAGUGCUGCAAUGUGAAUAAAUGUUUUACCCUUUCUUGAGUCUGACAGGGUGGUGGGAGGUGAGCGUUUUAUGGUUUUAGUUCCCCCGAGAUGAACCUCAAGAUAGACCUCUUGCUGCGAAUACUUUUAGAUUUUAUGGUUCAAUCAAAGUGAGAAAUGGGAUUUUCUUGGAGACAUAAUGUAGAAAUCCUUCCUUGAAUUUCCAAAAAAAAGCCGUAAGGAAAUGAUGAAAUAACCUUCCGGUGGCUUGAUGCAGCACUCACCGUCAUGGUGCCUUUCUCCCCUUCAAAGGGGUUUGUUAUCGUCCGUGCGUCUGGCUCCUGUCGGAAUAACUUCCAGCUCGGUUCCAUCUCCAGAUCUAACUGCAACGCAGGAGGAAGGAAAACAGACAAAUAUGUGAGGACACACUAUCGACCCUCCCGGGCGUGUGCACGCCCUUCGGAGUCUGGCAUCCCACCUCCUCGUGGUGGAAUCGCUCUGGACUCAACUUUACACCCGUCUCCCGGGCAGCUGGGUUGUCCUGGACACAAACCUGGAUUGGCAGCCCCUUCUCCCUCAGCACUUUCAUCUUAAUGCAACUUCCCGCGUGCCUGAGGGCACUCACGGCUUCGUGGUGGGCCAUCCCCUGAAUGUCAAGUCCGUUAACCUGGAUGAACCGGGGAAAAGGCAGUUCCUCAGGGCAGCAAUCUGUCUCCAACAAGGACCCCUGCCUUAUCGGAAGGACCUCCUUCGGAAACCUUCGAGAUGAAGAUGCCCUGAAACAAAAAAAUAAUCCACGUCAACCUAAAAAUAAAUUCGGCCAAAAAGUGAUUAUCACAGUGGAAUAUGGUCUUAGCUUUCGCACCUUAAGCCUUUUGGUGGCUAAGCUGAACUAGUGCCUACCUCAUCGUGUUCUCUGUAGGGUAGGGAACCUUUCCCACCAGCGAUGCUGAGGCCCAAACCACUGCUCUGCCCGCACACUUUGAUCUGUAACUACAAGGUUUCCCUCCGUUAACAACGUCAGCAAAGUGACAACUUCCAGUGGCUUUGAAGCCGACAU